AGUGAACGCUGGCGGUAGGCCUAACACAUGCAAGUCGAACGGCAGCACAGUAAGAGCUUGCUCUUACGGGUGGCGAGUGGCGGACGGGUGCGGAAUACAUCGGAAUCUACUUUUUCGUGGGGGAUAACGUAGGGAAACUUACGCUAAUACCGCAUACGACCUACGGGUGAAAGCAUGGGAUCUUCCGACCUUGCGCGAUUGAAUGAGCCGAUGUCGGAUUAGCUAGUUGGCGGGGUAAAGGCCCACCAAGGCGACGAUCCGUAGCUGGUCUGAGAGGAUGAUCAGCCACACUGGAACUGAGACACGGUCCAGACUCCUACGGGAGGCAGCAGUGGGGAAUAUUGGACAAUGGGCGCAAGCCUGAUCCAGCCAUACCGCGUGGGUGAAGAAGGCCUUCGGGUUGUAAAGCCCUUUUGUUGGGAAAGAAAAGCAGCAGGUUAAUACCCCGCUGUUCUGACGGUACCCAAAGAAUAAGCACCGGCUAACUUCGUG
rnacentral:rRNA from 1 species